rnacentral:rRNA from 1 species
CUACGGGAGGCAGCAGUGGGGAAUAUUGGACAAUGGGGGAAACCCUGAUCCAGCAAUGCCGCGUGUGUGAAGAAGGCCUGCGGGUUGUAAAGCACUUUCGGUUGGGAGGACUGCUUCUAGCACUAAUAUUGUUGGAAGUUGACGUUACCUUCAGAAGAAGCACCGGCUAACUCCGUGCCAGCAGCCGCGGUAAUACUGAGGGUGCAAGCGUUAAUCGGAAUUACUGGGCGUAAAGCGCGCGUAGGCAGCUAGAUCAGUCGGGUGUGAAAGCCCCGGGCUUAACCUGGGAACUGCAUCCGAUACUGUCUAGCUUGAGUACAGGAGAGGAGAGUGGAAUUCCACAUGUAGCGGUGAAAUGCGUAGAUAUGUGGAGGAACACCAAUGGCGAAGGCAGCUCUCUGGCCUGAUACUGACGCUGAGGUGCGAAAGCGUGGGGAGCAAACAGGAUUAGAUACCCUCGUAGUC